ensembl:lncRNA
GCACUUUUUUUCAGCCUAGACUACUCUUCAAUCUGGUAUCUGUGUGGUCUACCCUUCACUUUCUUCAAGUCUUUAUUCAAAAGUCAGUUCUGUGAGGGCUUUCCUAUAUAAAAUUUCAACCUACCCACAAUACUUCGUAGCCUUUUUUCCUCCUACCACUUACUACUGUACAACAACAUAUUAUACAGGUUACUUAUUUACUCUGAAAAUAGAUAAAUAGUCUUCCUCACUAAAUUGCUCCAUGAAAGCAGGCAGCAUUUUUACUGUUUUAGUCAUUGCUAUUUUCCCAGCCCUUAGAAUGCAUAUAGAAAACACACUAUUUUCUUGUUAAAUGAAUAAAUGAAUCAUGGUGGCCUCAUUCCCCUUUCCAGUGAUUGGUUAGACAGUAAGAAUGUAUGGAGUGUGGGUAAUAAUAGGUGAAGAAAAGCUUCCUGGACACUUCUAUAAAAGAUGGUCUCUUCUGGAUGUCAUUCUGGAUGUCAUGCCUAGAAUUUCUGCAGUCAUCUUGUGACCAUGAGGGUAGAAUACAGUACAAAUCUAAUAUACCAGAAAUGGCAGAACAUUCAACAAAUGAGGCUAAAACACUUAGAUAUCCAUAUAUACAAAGAAAGAAAAAAAAGAACCUCAACCUUUAACUCAUACCUUACAUAAAAAUUAUUGUGAAAUUGAUCAUAGACCUAAAUCUAAAUACGAGAGCUAAAACUAUAAAACUUUUGAGAGAAAACCUAGGAGAAAGUAUUUAUGAUCUUGGAUUUGCCAAAAUCUCCCUAACAGAUGAAGUUCAAGCACCAGUGAACUUAAAAUAUUAAUAAAUUUGUACCAAAAAGAUGGGAUCAGAAGAGCAGGUAAACCUGUAUUGAGAAUAUGUGGACGUUUUUUAAGUGUGGGGAUUUAAUGUGGAAUUUUAUGAUUCAGAGCAUAUUGCUGUGUGUAUGUUUCAAGAUGAAAACUGACAGAAUAUAGAAAUAUAAAUUUUGGAACUAGUGAAAGAACAUCUUCUGAAUGAACAUGAUGAGGAACAAGAAAGAAAAGAGAAUCUAGACAUGAAAGCACUGAAGUAUGAGUCAUCAGAAGAGAAAAAAAUAGGGAAAACAAGGUUUUCAAACAACGCUAUUUUGAUAGAUCUUACAGACUAUGAAUGAUUCACCACAAGCACUCGCACACAAAAGGACUUUCUUGGCUGUGUGCCAACUUGUAGGUAUGGCGUGGAUUCUGCUUUUCAAAGGACCAGGUGCUGAAAAAUGCUUACACUGGUUCAAACAAAAAAUAAAAACUUAACCGUUUAGUGAGCAUACUUUACAAGGCCAAGAUCGUUUCAAAUCAAAGUGUUAAAGAUGUUGCAUAGACAAAACAUUUAGAAAAAUCCAAUCUUUGUUAUUUAAUGUGAGAAAAGGAGAUCACUUCACUGGAAAUGUUUUGCCUGCCAAAGGAGAGCUAGUUUUUGUUUUAUAAAAAUCAGGAGGCCUUUUGCCCUCAUAAACACACAAUCCCUGGAGAGCUAAGCAAUUGCUGAUAUAGAAAUUUUGAAAAUAAUAGUAUUGAGAUAAAUGGAAUCUCAAACGUAUCAGAUAUACAAUCAAACCAAAGAUCUGUGUCCUUUGCAUUCUUUACAUAUAAGACCAUUACAAAGUAUGAACUGAUUUGUCCCAAAGACCUAAUUCGUGAUUGUCCUUAUAAAUGAAAGACAAGGAUACAAAAAAAAUUGCAUGUCAUCUGUCAACAGGCUCCAUAAAAUCUUUUCCAGAGAUAUUAAUUAGUAGACCCCUGCUGCCAAACAAUUGGAAGUAAAUGUGUAUCAAAUUAUCUCUCAAACAAUUGAAUGUGGUAAAACCUAAUAUUAGCUAGCGAAAAGUGGUGUUAGUCCUACCCUGUCCAUUCCCCUAAUACAAGCAUCAUAAAAAGUUAAUCAUAAGACUAUCUUCACACUUGACAUCCUCUUUCUGUUUAAGUAACAUGUCUGCAAUAAUCACAAACAUAAGCUGGAAAAGAAGGAAGGGAAACUGGCUGAAGUAAUUUUUAAGCAGAAGCUGUGCUUUCAGUAAGAAUAGAGUUGAUGAUGUAGUCAAAGGAGCAGUAAGAGCAGUUUUCCUAUGUGUCAUGUAAGUAUUGCUUUUAGGCUUUCCUUUCACACGUUUGCAGCACCACUCUCUUUCAGUUUUUAUUCUUAGGCCCUGUAAGCCUGAGCUCUGAGACAAAAUUAUGAGGGAUUUUAAACGCUUGAUAAGGAAUUUGGACUUGAAAUCCAGAGCUGUGCUGUCCAGAACAGUAGCCACAAACCACUUGUGACCAUUUGCAUUUCAAUUACUUGAAAUUAAGCAUAAUUAAAAUUCAGUACCUCACUUUCAUGAGCCGUUUUUCAAGUGCCCAAUAGCUACGUAUAGCUAGUGGCUACUCUAUUGGACAGAAAAGUUAUAGUAUUUCCAUCCUCAUGGAAAGUUCUAUUGGACAGCACUACUAUAGACAAUGGAGGAUCAUUAGAAACUUGAGCAGGAGGCUAACACUCAAGCCCAUGUGUGAUAGCCACACAGAUUAUAGAGUGGUGUACAUCUGAAAGGUCUAUUCCUCAGCCAAUACCGCACUAUGUUGAUUCCCAUAAUUUUAUAAUAGUUCAUUUUUGAUAUUGUCUUGGAUAUUUUCACAUAUUCUUCCUAUAUAUAUAUAUAUAUGUUUAUAUUAAUUUUACCCGUAUGAGCAUAGAAAAGAAUGUGGGAGAUAGAUACCAGCCUGAUACUGAUUACUUUGAGUUAUCCCAGGAUGUGGAUUAGGAAAGAUGGCUGUGGAUUAAUAUUUUAUUUUAGCUCUUUGAAAUGUUUUACUUACUAUGACAAAGAAAAAUCCAUGCAUGUUAUCUCUAUAAAAUGAAAUUAAUGAUAUACCCACCACCUAAUCACAUUUGUUUUUAAAAAAGUUCUAAAGUUCUAAUUAAACAUAAUUACGUACCCAGUAGAAUGUAAUUUAGAGUUUAAAAGGGUAUAUAUUCUUUUUCUUCAAUAUGGAGGAUCCAAAAUAAUAUUAUAUCAAAUAUACUCUCUUUUCUCGGUGGGAAAUGAAAUAUAACAUUGCGUAUAUUCUACUUUCUGUUUACAAACUAUAUUAGGUAAGAAAAAAAUCAUUUAAUGGGACUACUUCAGGAAGCAAUUGAAUACAAUUGAUGAUAUAUUGUGUUAGUCUCAGCUCUGCAAAGAUUAUGCUUUAUUUACUGUCCCAGGCAUAUAAGAGGACUUAAAAGGAUAUUUAUAAGCCACUCUUAUCAAGUCAUUCUAAUGGAUAACAGCAAUAACUAGUGUGGGAAGUUCUUCCUUCCAAGAUUAUUCCCCAAUGAUACAGUUCAAAAGAACUCCAUUUUGAGCAUAGUGUUUUACCCAGUAAUCUCAUUUUAUAUCUGAAUAUUAUCCACACCUUAGUGUUUUAUAUUUUCACACAUACGUAGUUGGGUUUCACCUGAUGACACUUGAAUUCUCUUAUAAAAUGGAGGAAUUCUGGCACUCUUUCAUACCCUGUGGAGCUUUCUCUCUUCUUCCUAGUUAUGGAGGAGGCCACAAAAAUCCUAUUGCCUAGAAGUGAAGUUAGUAAUGCUGAGUUGAUUUGAUAGGGGUGAUGAACACUCAAACGCCAAGAUAUUGGAGUGAAUCAACAGUGUGAAAUAUUCAUGGCAGUGCUUGUUCAUUUCACAAGGGUACUCAAUCAACUAUGAAAUGCAAAUGUUACCAGAGUCAUGAAAUCUUCCUCUGCAGCUAUCUGGACAAUCUAUUACAGGAUAUUUCAUGCUAUAUGGAUACUCAAGUUUUUAAUAUACAUAAUAAUUACCCGGAAUGGGCUAUCCACGACAAAAUAAACUGAUAAACAGAUAACAGACAAGAUAGAGAGUAAGGAGACCAUAGUUUGGUGAAAGAAUCAUUGGAAACUUCUGGACAAGAUAAUGACAUUUCUGUUCAAAGUAAUACAGAUAGAACUGAACUGAAGGAAGCCAUGGAGCACCAAUGUCAAACAUCCUCUUUUCAAAGAGAAAUGUACCCCUAAUACAGUAGAGAAAACACUGACUAAUUAAUGCCACUGCCCUCUGAAAUUUGGAAGUAUUAGAGUCAAAGGUGAAAUGCAGGCACACUGCAUCAUCAGAAGUACCACCUCACCUAUGUGGACCAAAAGAUUUGGACCAUAUCAUUGGCAUUGCAAGGCCUGUUGCAGCAAUGAGCUGGCAACCUUGCAGUUUUCUCCGCAUACCAAGAGAGAACCACUAAACAUUUAGAAUAGUGCCUAGUGUAUAGCUGUGUAUAGUUGCUCAGCAAAUAUUUUGAAUGAACAAAUGAAAUUUAAAAAAACCUGCAACCUGAUAUGAGCCUUCCUUUAGCACUGACUUAGGGAAUGAAAAGCAAAGAUGCGAAGCGGUAUUCAUACUCUGAGGCUAAGACAAAUUAAUGGAAUAAAACAGAGGGUGAAAUGAAACGGCCAGAAAUCACUAUGGAGAAGCCAAAAACAGCAAUUCAGAUUCAUUCACUUACUCAAAUAUUACUUGAGCUUGGCUCUAGAGAUAGACUGUGACAAAAGACAUAUUCUUUGCCUUCUUAAAACUUAUAGCCUUUUGGAGAAGACAGGCAUUAAAUAAUCGAGAAAAUGUAUAGGAUUGUAUUAGAAGUUGUGAC